rnacentral:rRNA from 1 species
CACGUAGGGCGCAAGCGUUGUCCGGAAUUAUUGGGCGUAAAGAGCUCGUAGGCGGUCUGUUGCGUCCGCUGUGAAAACUCGAGGCUCAACCUCGAGAGGUCGGUGGAAACCGUCUGGCUAGAGUCCGGAAGAGGAGAGUGGAAUUCCCGGUGUAGCGGUGAAAUGCGCAGAUAUCGGGAAGAACACCCGUGGCGAAGGCGGCUCACUGGACCACAACUGACGCUGAGGCGCGAAAGCUAGGGGAGCAAACAGGG